UACGUAGGGUGCGAGCGUUAAUCGGAAUUACUGGGCGUAAAGCGUGCGCAGGCGGUUUUGUAAGCCAGAUGUGAAAGCCCCGGGCUCAACCUGGGAAUGGCAUUUGGGACUGCAAGGCUGGAGUUUGGCAGAGGAGACUGGAAUUCCUGGUGUAGCAGUGAAAUGCGUAGAUAUCAGGAGGAAUACCGAUGGCGAAGGCAGGUCUCUGGGCUAUAACUGACGCUCAUGCACGAAAGCGUGGG
rnacentral:rRNA from 1 species